rnacentral:lncRNA from 1 species
CAAUAUUUCUUUAGGGAAAACGGUACUAUUUAUUCUGCCAUUGGCGACAAUGUUAACAUUUUCUAAAUUUACCACUUUUUAAGAUAAAAACCUGGAUAAAACAGUUAUAUGUUGUGUUAGUACUUUAUUACUCUGUUUUAAAAAUUAAAGCCAAAUAGUAUCAUGACCAACUUCCAACGGAGCUUGUUUAUGUUAUCCAUGCCCACCG